AUCCAUGGCCGAAAUACCCUAUAGGCACCAUAUCCCUGUCUGAUCUUGGAAGCUAAACAGGGUCAACUCUCAUUAGUCUUUGGGUAGAAUAUUACCAAUGAAUACCAAGUGCUACAGAAU
rnacentral:rRNA from 11 species